rnacentral:rRNA from 1 species
GAUGAACGCUGGCGGCGUGCCUAAUACAUGCAAGUAGAACGCUGAAGCUUGGUGCUUGCACCGAGCGGAUGAGUUGCGAACGGGUGAGUAACGCGUAGGUAACCUGCCUCUUAGCGGGGGAUAACUAUUGGAAACGAUAGCUAAUACCGCAUAAAAGACGAUAUCGCAUGAUAUUGAUUUGAAAGGUGCAAAUGCAUCACUAAGAGAUGGACCUGCGUUGUAUUAGCUAGUUGGUGAGGUAACGGCUCACCAAGGCAACGAUACAUAGCCGACCUGAGAGGGUGAUCGGCCACACUGGGACUGAGACACGGCCCAGACUCCUACGGGAGGCAGCAGUAGGGAAUCUUCGGCAAUGGGGGCAACCCUGACCGAGCAACGCCGCGUGAGUGAAGAAGGUUUUCGGAUCGUAAAGCUCUGUUGUAAGAGAAGAACGAGUGUGACAGUGGAAAGUUCACACUGUGACAGUAACUUACCAGAAAGGGACGGCUAACUACGUGCCAGCAGUCGCGGUAA